rnacentral:rRNA from 1 species
UACGAAGGGGGCUAGCGUUGCUCGGAAUUACUGGGCGUAAAGCGCACGUAGGCGGAUUGUUAAGUCGGGGGUGAAAUCCUGGAGCUCAACUCCAGAACUGCCUUCGAUACUGGCGAUCUCGAGUUCGGGAGAGGUGAGUGGAACUGCGAGUGUAGAGGUGAAAUUCGUAGAUAUUCGGAGGAACACCAGUGGCGAAGGCGACUGCCUGGACGAACAUUGACGCUGAGGUGCGAAAGCGUGGGGAGCAAACAGG